AGAGACAACAAUGGUUAAAUGCAAUACAAUGUACAGGUUUUACUAGCGAAAUGAAAAUAUUUUCCUGUCCUGUCUGCUGUAAUCAUUUUAUAUCUGGAAAACCAGCCGACUUAAUAGAUAAUAACAAUCUCCAGAUUGGGUUCCUUCAAUAAAUAUGGGCUAUAAACACAAUGAAAUAAGUUCCCCAAAAUCUAAAAUGGAGUGGUAUCAAAGGAGAAUUAAAGG
rnacentral:lncRNA from 1 species